rnacentral:rRNA from 1 species
GAUGAACGCUGGCGGCGUGCCUAAUACAUGCAAGUCGAGCGAACGGACGCGACGCUUGCUUCUCUGAUGUUAGCGGCGGACGGGAGAGUAACACGUGGAUAACCUACCUAUAAGACUGGGAUAACUUCGGGAAACCGGAGCUAAUACCGGAGAAUAUUUUGAACCGCAGGGUUGAAAAGUGAAAGACGGUCUUGCGGUCACUUAUAGAUGCAUCCGCGCUGCAUGAGCUAGUUGGUCAGGUAAAGGCUUACCAAGGCAACGAUGCAUAGCCGACCUGAGAGGGUGAUCGGCCACACUGGAACUGAGACGCGCUCCAGACUCCUGCGGGAGGGAGCAGUAGGGAAUGGUCCGCAAUGGGCGAAAGCCUGACGGAGCAACGCCGCGUGAGUGACGAAGACCCUCGGAUCGUAAAACUCUGUUAUUAGGUAAGAACAGAUGUGGAAGUAACUGUGCACAUCUUGACGGUACCUAAUCAGAAAGCCCCGGCUAACUACGUG